CCAGACUCCUACGGGAGGCAGCAGUGGGGAAUAUUGCACAAUGGGGGAAACCCUGAUGCAGCGACGCCGCGUGAGUGAAGAAGUAAUUCGUUAUGUAAAGCUCUAUCAGCAGGGAAGAAAAUGACGGUACCUGAGUAAGAAGCCCCGGCUAACUACGUGCCAGCAGCCGCGGUAAUACGUAGGGGGCAAGCGUUAUCCGGAUUUACUGGGUGUAAAGGGAGCGUAGACGGCAGUGCAAGUCUGGAGUGAAAGGCGGGGGCUCAACCCCGGGACUGCAUUGGAAACUGGCAUGCUGGAGUGCCGGAGGGGCAAGCGGAAUUCCUAGUGUAGCGGUGAAAUGCGUAGAUAUUAGGAGGAACACCGGUGGCGAAGGCGGCUUGCUGGACGGUAACUGACGUUGAGGCUCGAAAGCGUGGGGAGCAAACAGGAUUAGAUACCCCGGUA
rnacentral:rRNA from 1 species